rnacentral:rRNA from 1 species
CCUACGGGUGGCAGCAGUGAGGAAUAUUGGUCAAUGGACGAGAGUCUGAACCAGCCAAGUAGCGUGAAGGAUGACUGCCCUAUGGGUUGUAAACUUCUUUUAUAUGGGAAUAAAACAGGGUAUGCAUACCCUCUGGUAUGUACCAUAUGAAUAAGGAUCGGCGAACUCCGUGCCAGCAGCCGAGGUAAUACGGAGGAUCCGAGCGUUUUCCGGAUUUAUUGGGUUUAAAGGGAGCGUAGGUGGAUUGUUAAGUCAGUUGUGAAGGUUUGCGGCUCAACCGUAAAAUUGCAGUUGAAACUGGCAGUCUUGAGUACAGUAGAGGUGGGCGGAAUUCGUGGUGUAGCGGUGAAAUGCUUAGAUAUCACGAAGAACUCCGAUUGCGAAGGCAGCUCACUGGACUGCAACUGACACUGAUGCUCGAAAGUGUGGGUAUCAAACAGGAUUAGAUACCCCAGUAGUC